rnacentral:sRNA from 1 species
UUUUUAAUUUUUUUUUGGUUUUGU